rnacentral:lncRNA from 1 species
UGCAACCGGGUGUCUUCCCUCCUAAUGCUUUGAAUAGCAAUGAAGAUCCAUCUAAAUUGUUGAGCUUUCAAUCUCCUAAUCUCAUUGUUCCAAGUUCCCAGAUGAACAAACAAAACCAAAGUCAAACUAAUCAACCACAUCAACCAUCUCUUCAAUGGACCCAACAACAACAACAACAUCUACAACAUAUGUUACAACAACAACAACAACCACAACAAAUGCAACAACAACACAUGUUGAACCUUCAACAACAGAACUCUAUGUACUCUCAGCUACAACAACAACAACAACAACAACA